rnacentral:rRNA from 1 species
UACGUAGGGGGCAAGCGUUGUCCGGAAUCAUUGGGCGUAAAGAGCGCGUAGGCGGCCCAGUAAGUCCGCUCUGAAAGUCAGGGGCUCAACCCCUGGAUGCGGGUGGAUACUGCUGGGCUAGAGUCCGGAAGAGGCGAGUGGAAUUCCUGGUGUAGCGGUGAAAUGCGCAGAUAUCAGGAGGAACACCAGUGGCGAAGGCGGCUCACUGGACCGGAACUGACGCUGAGGCGCGAAAGCGUGGGGAGCAAACAGG